rnacentral:rRNA from 1 species
ACGUAGGGUGCGAGCGUUGUCCGGAAUUACUGGGUGUAAAGGGAGCGUAGGCGGUAAAUUAAGUUGGAUGUUUAAUCUAUGGGCUCAACCCAUAAUCGCAUUCAAAACUGAUUUACUUGAGUGAAGUAGAGGUAGGCGGAAUUUCCGGUGUAGCGGUGGAAUGCGUAGAUAUCGGAAGGAACACCAGUGGCGAAGGCGGCCUACUGGGCUUUAACUGACGCUGAGGCUCGAAAGCAUGGGUAGCAAACAG